rnacentral:rRNA from 1 species
UGUUUCGGCAAGGGGGUCAUCCCGACUUACCAACCCGAUGCAAACUGCGAAUACCGGAGAAUGUUAUCACGGGAGACACACGGCGGGUGCUAACGUCCGUCGUGAAGAGGGAAACAACCCAGACCGCCAGCUAAGGUCCCAAAGUCAUGGUUAAGUGGGAAACGAUGUGGGAAGGCCCAGACAGCCAGGAUGUUGGCUUAGAAGCAGCCAUCAUUUAAAGAAAGCGUAAUAGCUCACUGGUCGAGUCGGCCUGCGCGGAAGAUGUAACGGGGCUAAACCAUGCACCGAAGCUGCGGCAGCGACGCUGAUGCGUUGUUGGGUAGGGGAGCGUUCUGUAAGCCUGUGAAGGUGUGCUGUGAGGCAUGCUGGAGGUAUCAGAAGUGCGAAUGCUGACAUAAGUAACGAUAAAGCGGGUGAAAAGCCCGCUCGCCGGAAGACCAAGGGUUCCUGUCCAACGUUAAUCGGGGCAGGGUGAGUCGACCCCUAAGGCGAGGCCGAAAGGCGUAGUCGAUGGGAAACAGGUUAAUAUUCCUGUACUUGGUGUUACUGCGAAGGGGGGACGGAGAAGGCUAUGUUGGCCGGGCGACGGUUGUCCCGGUUUAAGCGUGUAGGCUGGUUUUCCAGGCAAAUCCGGAAAAUCAAGGCUGAGGCGUGAUGACGAGGCACUACGGUGCUGAAGCAACAAAUGCCCUGCUUCCAGGAAAAGCCUCUAAGCAUCAGGUAACAUCAAAUCGUACCCCAAACCGACACAGGUGGUCAGGUAGAGAAUACCAAGGCGCUUGAGAGAACUCGGGUGAAGGAACUAGGCAAAAUGGUGCCGUAACUUCGGGAGAAGG